AAAUCCAUUACAACUUACAAAUAACGUAAGAUCACAUAUUAUAAUGCAUACUAUCAGUUCAUUUCAUUUACAUAUCUUUUAGAUAGAUAGCUACUUCUGAUGAGCAACUCAUGUUACAAUAGAAGGAAAGGAUAAUCUUCAAAGUAUAAGAAACGUUAUCCAUUUCAGAGAGUGAUUUCGUUCAAAAAAUUUCAUGGUUUGAUGUCUAAGAGCUUCAAGGAACCAGAAGCUAAAUACUCACUUUGAUAUAUAUGAUCUUUAUCAAAAACAUUAGAAAUAAAAGCAAAUUUUCCAAUGAGGAUUUGUUGGAAUAGUAGCAACGUGGAAUUUUGCGGUUCUAGAAGAGUACGGUGCAAUUUUCGCCAAGAAUAUUAUAUAAAAUUUUCCUACUCCAGGUAUGUUAAGGUCAUCCCUUCUUUCUUUUGGCAUGAUCCAAAAUAUACUGAAGAAACGAGCAAACACACAGUUUCCAUAAAUUACUCUAUUCAUAGAGAUAUUAGGGCUGUCUAUAUCCUUGAUUCCCCAUGAGAAUUUUUAUUAUCUUCUGUUCAUGAGUCUCAGAAUAAUACGCAGUUGAAAAAGUUUAUCCGGGAGGAAUAUUGGGAUUAUUACGUAUUUUUCAUGCAUUUCACCCAUUUAUACAUAUGCAUUGACCCAUGACCAGGUGGCGUUAUAUACGCGUAUAUAUGUAAAUAUAUGUAUAUGGGAUAUGGGAAAAGGUUAUGGCGUUAUAAACGCACAACCACCUGAUCAGUUGGUAUAUGUUGAUGAUGUUGUCCACAGUGGCCGAGACGAUAUGAUGGGAUGCCUUAGCGGCUUGAUGAUAUUAUGUACACCCAUACCUAUGCAUGACACGACAUUUAUACGCACCUGCAUGACAUUAUAAAUGAUUCAGAAUUUACAAAGUUAUUUAGAUUUAAAGACGUGUUUCUUUGCUCCAUGUUUUAUCUAUGUCUUUUACAUACUAAUUUUCAUGCCUUACAUACUCAGUACAUUUUUCGUACUGAUACACUAUUUCAUGAGGCAUGUAUUUCAUGCCGGCAGGUGCAGGUAGGUAAGCUGACGGUCCUCCUUCUUAGGAUCCUUGAUCAACGAGAGUUGUCAUGCUCCAUUUGAUCCGGAGCUGCUUUUGAUUAUGGCACGAUAUAUUUGUGGAUAUAUAUAUAUGGGUAUGACGUAGCUCGGUCCCGUCUUUGUAUAGCUAUAUUUCUAUUAGAGGUAUGUAGACAGUAUGUCUAGUUGGAUAGUAUAUGGCCUUGCCGGCUUCCAGUUUUGAUAUGUAUAGUUGUCUAUAGCAUCCUUGUCGGCUCACCCUACGUAUGUCGUACGUAUAUGUAUGUAUGCUUUUUUGGGUAGACAAAUUCGAUCUCAUUUGGUUUUCAGACGGUAGUCCCCGAGCGUGGGGUUAGUUGUUUGAACUUCUGUUAUGAUCAACCCUUAAGCCUGUUUACCCAAUAGAUCAAGAGUAUGGAAUUGUAAAGUAGAAAAUUUUUCUAAGGCAUGAGAUAUCGGCAAGGAAAAAAAACUUCUUUUAAUAGAUGAUUAUACAUGCGUACAUGUUUGAUGUUAGGGCUCGAGUAUCCUAUAUCGGCACGGUUCAUUCAAUCGUUGGCCCUUACAAAAUUUACCUAUCGAGACCCAGCUGUUGCAAAAUAAUUUCCUUGUAACAAAGUUGAUAUUCAAGGGUAAUGCCCCCCAGUAUUCGAGGUUGAUUGUAAAGAAGCCUUGCAUAAUGUUGAAUUGUUCUAAGUUAGCACGAUCAAUGGUUGCCUCGUUAAAAACCUCGCCGGAAAAAUC
rnacentral:lncRNA from 1 species